AGUGUAACUCUUCAAAAUCAAUAUUUAUUUGCAAACUUUUCACUCAAGAAAAAACAUCCCAGAGUAUCAGUUUUGGGGCCAUGUGCUACUUUAGCACUACUUUGCAUUUGUGGAGCUGAAGUAUUAGAUAAGCUUUGUUCCUUCCUGUGCUUCCGGUUCAGUUGCUGUGUUCUCUUUAUGGCCACGCAGGGAUUUCCAUGGCAUGGCCCCAGGAUUCUGCAAGGAGCCAGCACUGCUGCAAUUAUUGAUCUCUGCUGGACAGCCAAGGAAUGAAAUCACAGGAAAAUGGAGCUGUCUCUUGGGAUGGUUACCUCUAAGUUCUGCAUUGACAGAAUACACCAGAAGGUAAUUUAAAAAGUUGGAGAAGCUGUGAAGACUCUGUUUGUGAAAAUCAGUUGUACCCUAAAUCCUACCAGACAGAACAGAAAAAAGCAUUUCAUGCUUGCUUUCAGGGCUGCCAGUUCUUGGCAGCAUUGCCUCAACACUGCUAUUUAAGCCAGUUCCAGCCUUCUUUAGGAUCCUUUCAUCAGCUUACCUAAACUGCCCAGGCUAAUCGAGUGUUUGUUAAACCCUCUGAAGGUGCUAGGAAAUCCACUCUGCUCUGCUGUUGAAUUUCAUCCCAGUUAUCUGCAUGCAGAAGCUUGCUUUUCCAGGUGUCAACUCAUCUGACUGUUGUAAGAAGUAUACAACUGACUCACAGAAGAGAAUCUAGAAUCUGCUUAUCCUGUUGGUCUGAAUUUGUACUGACUUUGUAGAUACAUAGGGAAUACUGAAAAACCUAUUCACCCUCAAAAGUCACCCUGUUCCCCAGGCUCUGUUGACUGUAGGCACUUAAAUCAGUGAUGUUCAUUUAAGUCAAAACUUUCAAAUCUUUUCCUAAGGGAAGGACAAUGAUAAGCAAGAAUUAAUUUUAUUAUCCAGUGAAGUUACCUUCAGUAUUCACUCAAUGCAAUCAAAGCCAGUGAUCUGCUCUUCUUUGUGACCCGCUCCUUUUUUAUAAUAGAACUUGCUCUAUGCCAGAGUGUGCUCCCUUGUUAGUGAUGGUUAUAGAUACUAAACUUCCCCAAUAAAAUAGUAAUUGUUUUUUAAGCUUCACAAGUAGAAUAAAAUCUAGGCAAAACAUUUCUGAUGGAUGUUUAGAAUUACUAACUGCUGAUAAGUGAAUUAGGUGUAUUUUGGGGGAGGUGUUGAGUAUUUUUUAUCAUUCAGGGUAAAAUCAGUACUAAACAAUCUCUCAUACACUAGCAGCAAUGUAAUCAAACAAGCCGAUUGGGUAGGAAAUAAGGAGUGAAGCUAAUCAGAAAUGUAUAUUAUUUACUGGUGAAUGUUUAUAGACAAACUCUUAUAUGUGUUUGAGAGAAUAGAAUAAAAUGUUUCCCACAUGAUGGCAUUUAAGCUUUAAAGGAGAUGAGCAGUUUCAGAAAGGAUGUUAGUCAUUACUAGUAGGUUGCUUGAACACAGAAAAUGCAAGAAAGACUUAAUUCCCCUUUUCAUUAUCCCCUAUUCAUUUUAUCUCUUUUCUCCCAGCUUUAUACAUAUUCAUGUCUGCCUAGAGGGUUCCUUUACACAGCUGAGCAUGGGAAUUGCUGUUUGUGAAAGUUAGAUUCUACCUUCAUGUUACAGUGUGUGACAGAGAAAAUGGACUGGAGCAGCUCAUCUACUCCUGGGCACCAAAUUGUUGCAGGGGAAAAUAUUUCUUUAAUUGAUUAAAAUGCUAGACUGGGUUUUCCAUAAAUAGAAUCUGAAUCUUAUUGGCCUUGGACACCAUGCUUUAUCUGAAGUAUGUUUCAUGCUGGAAGCUGGGUUUUGCAUCAUGGGGUUUUAAAACGUGGAAGCAUGCAGGGAAAAGAAAUUUAAAA